rnacentral:rRNA from 1 species
UGAGAGGGUGAUCGGCCACACUGGGACUGAGACACGGCCCAGACUCCUACGGGAGGCAGCAGUAGGGAAUCUUCCGCAAUGGACGAAAGUCUGACGGAGCAACGCCGCGUGAGUGAUGAAGGUUUUCGGAUCGUAAAGCUCUGUUGUUAGGGAAGAACAAGUGCGAGAGUAACUGCUCGCACCUUGACGGUACCUAACCAGAAAGCCACGGCUAACUACGUGCCAGCAGCCGCGGUAAUACGUAGGUGGCAAGCGUUGUCCGGAAUUAUUGGGCGUAAAGGGCUCGCAGGCGGUUUCUUAAGUCUGAUGUGAAAGCCCCCGGCUCAACCGGGGAGGGUCAUUGGAAACUGGGAAACUUGAGUGCAGAAGAGGAGAGUGGAAUUCCACGUGUAGCGGUGAAAUGCGUAGAGAUGUGGAGGAACACCAGUGGCGAAGGCGACUCUCUGGUCUGUAACUGACGCUGAGGAGCGAAAGCGUGGGGAGCGAACAGGAUUAGAUACCCUGGUAGUCCACGCCGUAAACGAUGAGUGCUAAGUGUUAGGGGGUU